rnacentral:rRNA from 1 species
GAUGAACGCUGGCGGCGUGCCUAAUACAUGCAAGUCGAGCGAACAGACGAGGAGCUUGCUCCUCUGACGUUAGCGGCGGACGGGUGAGUAACAAGUGGAUAACCUACCUAUAAGACUGGGAUAACUUCGGGAAACCGGAGCUAAUACCGGAGAAUAUAUUGAACCGCAUGGUUCAAUAGUGAAAGACGGUUUUGCUGUCACUUAUAGAUGGAUCCGCGCCGCAUUAGCUAGUUGGUAAGGUAACGGCUUACCAAGGCAACGAUGCGUAGCCGACCUGAGAGGGUGAUCGGCCACACUGGAACUGAGACACGGCCCAGACUCCUACGGGAGGCAGCAGUAGGGAAUCUUCCGCAAUGGGCGAAAGCCUGACGGAGCAACGCCGCGUGAGUGAUGAAGGUCUUCGGAUCGUAAAACUCUGUUAUUAGGGAAGAACAAAUGUGUAAGUAACUAUGCACGUCUUGACGGUACCUAAUCAGAAAGCCACGGCUAACUACGUG